rnacentral:lncRNA from 1 species
CUCAAGGUGAGUGUAAGAUGUUUUAGGAAGUGAGACACCAUGAAACUGACUCCUGCAGUUCCUGAGGUGCCUGUGCAGGGGAAAAACAAACUAAGAAGAAUGUUGGAAAAUUGGGCUGUCUUAAAUACCACAUGAAUGACAGAAGCAGCAGAGACCUUGGGAAUGAAGGACACCUAGGAGGUUCUAGUUUUAAAGCACACAGGUCCAUGAGUGCAUUUCACCAACUGAACAGUGCUGUGAAGGGCCAGGACCUGCUGUGGGCUGCUGAAGGCUCAUGCUCCCUCUUGGGAAAUGUCUGCCAGAAGCAUUGAUUCUGUUCCACAGAUACAGCUUUGGAGGGAAGAGGAGCUGCGGAAAGUGCCUCUCCUGGAUUAUUCAUGAAGAGGAGAGGAAAGAGCUUCCAUGUAAAGACCUGCAGAGAAGAAGCUGGCUGUGCAAAGGAAGGGAGGAAGAAAGGGCUCCUUUCGCAAGGGGAAGG